GCAGGGAAAAGCCUCGCGCUGAGGCGGUGGGAGCUCUGUGGGACACCGUGAGGGGCCGUUCCUGUGGGACACGAUGAGAAGGGAGAUGGUUCUACCCAAAGAGUGAACACUGACCGUCAUUUAUGGAGCAGGCGCUGUUUCCAGGAGAGCUGAGAGCAGUCCUGCCAGUAGUCUUUGUUAUUUUUAGUUGCACCAGGGAAUGCCAGUGCCUUGGCUAGGAGUCUGAAACCAUCAUCUGUUUGCUACCCCAACCUUCAGCCGUUCAUCUGGGACAGAAAGACUUCGAUGUGGACUUUCACCAAGUGAUUUUCUGCAAAUAAAUUAAUACAAUACCUGUUUCUUCUAAUGUGGACCAUGGCAAAGAAUCACAGUUAGUUGUCCAGACAUUGUAUAAGCUUGAUACGCAUAAUGUGGAAUAAAACAACAAAGGAAAAAUACUUUUAAUUGAGGGAACCCUAUGUGUAUAUGGACUCUUUUCUGUAUUGAUUAUUUUCUCGCCCUCCAUUUUAAUCCUAUCUGAGCAUUUCCCAGAUGUCAAAGUACAUUUACCCCUGUAAUGCAUGGAGUUUUCUCUUGAUUUUGGUUCUGUAGAAAAGUUCUCUCUAAGUUUUGUUGGUUCAUUUUUGAGAAAUCCUGCUGUGUAUUUCAAAGAUAUACGUCCACUCUUCCUCUGGCUGUUUCAUCAGCAGCUGAAAUGUUGCAACAGCAAAGAUUACAGACUCUCGUCAGGGAAAGCAGGCACAGGCAGGCACUUAAUUGUCUGAAAGGGCACAAACAUCAUCAAAUUCCAAUACUGCAACAGCCCAUUGAUUUAAAAUACACUAUUGACAACCAUUGCUAUUAGGAGCAUUAUUCAACAAUAUUUGUUUAGAAGUGUAUAUUUAUUUACAAGUGUAGAUACUGUGAGGGUUUUUUCCCCUGGAGUAACUUAGUACUUUGAGUGAUCCUGUUGAGUUUGCAAACAUUGUAUCCUAACUUCCCAUCUUCCAAAUUCAGGUCACUAAUGACUAUAUCACUAAAUAUAACUAUACCAGAAUGCUGGUAUUAGUUUAUCACAGCGUGUGUGUGAUAAAUGUAUGUGUAGGUUAGAUGAGUGCAGUUCUUCUAGACAAGGUAUCAGAUGCUGUCUGGAAACAAAAUGAGAACAAAAUAGAGCCAGAUUGGUUUCUGUGAGCCAAUGUAUUUCUGCCAUUGUCUCCAGAAGAUCCUUAGAAAUCUGCUAGAUCCUUAAAUGUUGUGCUUUAGCAUAUUUGUUUUUUUCUUUUAGAAUAAUAAGUUCUUAGAGACUUGGCACAGAUGGAGAUGCCCAAGUCUCUUACAGACUUUAGAGGCAGAGGACCAUUAAUAUAAUUAGGCUCCUAUUGUGCAAAGCGCUGUGCAAAAAUUAAGAGAAAGGAAAAUCUGUCCUCAAAUAAAUAAUCAUCUCCAAAACUCAGCAGUUUGCUUAAUGUUAGAAAAUGUCUGGGUAAUUUUUAAAAAAUACUUAUUUAAUGGAAAGUCCUUUUGAUACAUUAAGGUAUUUCUGGAUGCAAGGAAAAAUGCAAAAUUGAAAGGCAAGUCCCCAACAGGCAUCUCCAUGUUGAGGCUGAGGAAGCUGCAAACUGCACCUUUAUAACCCAGGAGAGCAAGGGGAGAAAAUAUGGGUUUUGUGCAUUGUUUCCCUUGCAGCCCCCUUAACUGGCAGCAGGGGAGUGGGGCUUUUGUGAUAAGAUUUUGGCAGACUACUUUGAAUGGGUCUGUAGAAGGAAACUAAAAUUUUCUUUCUGUUUCCCAGCUAGCAAGAGGUGCAAACACUUGUAUUGCCACCAUCUCUCUUUUCUGCUAAUCCCUUCUGGUGGAAAUGACUACUUAAAUUGUUUGACUAAAAGUAUUGCUUAAUAUAAACAUUUCCACCAUAAGCAGUUGUAUUUUCUAGUUUGGUUUUGGUGCUCUUUGAGAAGUCUACUAUGAACUGCACACAGCUAUGGAAGCCAUCUUGCUCAAAUAGAUAGACAAGAAUGCCCUUAACCAACUUCAAGAUGGAAUAAUUUCAGAUUCAGACAUAAAAAAUAUAUUCUGGAGAUGGUGUAUAUAAUCCCUUUAUUUGCUUGAAUAAUGGUAGAAAAAAAGUAGUUGCCAUUUGCAAUAAUUCUGUGUCUUGAAAGAUAAAAAGCUUAAUUCACAUUGGAUAUAUGCAUGAGAAUUAGGGGAUUAUGGUGUUGAGUCACAUUUUUAGAACAGUUGAGCUUGUCAGUGCCUACCUCACUUUCAAAAUGGGAACUUCGGUUUUUAAGUGAUCAAUGUGCUUAUUAAAGUUUGAUUAUAAAUGGCUUUUUCAAGCACUCUGCCUUUGGAGUGUGACCAUCUCUGUUACAUCCAUACUCCUGAAAUUCCUAGAAAGAAUAAAGAUGUCAUCUAAGUGGACCAGCUGCUUAUCUUUUCCUCCAGGAAGUUCCAAUGAAUUGUUUUUUAUUAGACUAGAUUUGAUUUUGGCCUUGAAAAAAUUGCUGCAUAAUCUGCUAAGCAUUUCUCAAAGGCAUUUUGUACAAAAACACCUGAUCUGUUUUUCAAGGUAUUUUCUAAAGUAGGUUUAUGGUUGUCUUGAAAUCUAAUCUGGAAAUAUUCUGGAAAAAUAUGUCUAAACACUUUUUACAUAUAUUUUUACAUAUGUAAAAACACUUCUAAAAGAGUGUGCCAUAUUAAUAAGACACAAGCUUUUCAGUCUUUUCAAAGUCAGGAAAAGGAGACAGUAACUCAUGUUUUUAGAUGUGAGAUCAGUUAGUCACUACCACUCCUUAUCACACUGACCUGGGAAGCAUACUUGUGUCUGACAACCUGCAAUUAGAGAGUACAAUUUGCUUCUUGACUUGGCAGUGGUGAUUUAUGUGGCAAAAAAGGAGAUUGUUUUUCUUAUGCUUUGUUCUGUAGAAUAACCUGACCAUUGCCCUUCUUCAGGCAACACAGCACUGAGGCAUUGAGGGUAGAUCCUCAAGGGGAUUUCUGUUGCUGCAGCACUAACCUACAUAAUUCCUAGCUUUGCAUACCCAGAGGGCUAGAUGAGUUCAUGAAGCAGAAAAAAGACUAUGAAUUCUGUCACCCAGUCCUUGCAUCUUGUAUUUUAUCUUUAUAUUUAUCUUAUAUUUCAUCUAAAAAUGGGUUUGUAAUUCAGCAUGCAGAAAUGGCAAAACCUGUAGGAGAUGGGGAAAAGCUACCAGAGGGGGCAGCCCUGAAGUCAGUGCCUUUGGGGAGCUCCCUGUCUCUCAUGGCCCUCCCCAGCUUCUUGCUACUUUUAAGAAACAAAUGUUAAUUUCCUCUAGGACUUAGAUUAAUUUUUGAAUUCCAAGGAUCCAUAUCAACCUAAUGGUAAAUGGUUUUUAAUUUUUCUAUGCAAAGAAGAAGUUCACAGGGAAGAUUGAGAACAACUUGUCUUUUCGUGGGAUACUCUCCUGAUGAAAGGUUUGAUAAGUCCAAGUUUUAUAAUGUGGUGAAGUUUUUGACCUGUAUUUUCCAGCUCCUAAAUAAAUAUUCCGAUGACUUUAUGGAGAUUUCCUA